GGUCUGGUGGUCUAGCGGUAUGAUUCUCGCUUAGGGUUACACCCUUAGCAUAUAUGCGAGAGGUCCCGGGUUCAAUCCCCGGCCAGACCC
rnacentral:tRNA from 1 species